rnacentral:rRNA from 2 species
UGCAGUCGAGCGGAUGAAAGGGAGCUUGCUCCCUGGAUUCAGCGGCGGACGGGUGAGUAACACGUGGGCAACCUGCCUGUAAGACUGGGAUAACUCCGGGAAACCGGGGCUAAUACCGGAUAACUUCUUUUCUCGCAUGGGGAGAGGUUGAAAGACGGUUUUGCUGUCACUUACAGAUGGGCCCGCGGCGCAUUAGCUAGUUGGUGGGGUAACGGCCUACCAAGGCGACGAUGCGUAGCCGACCUGAGAGGGUGAUCGGCCACACUGGGACUGAGACACGGCCCAGACUCCUACGGGAGGCAGCAGUAGGGAAUCUUCCGCAAUGGACGAAAGUCUGACGGAGCAACGCCGCGUGAGUGAUGAAGGCCUUCGGGUCGUAAAACUCUGUUAUCAGGGAAGAACAAGUGCCGUUUAACUGACGGCGCCUUGACGGUACCUGACCAGAAAGCCACGGCUAACUACGUGCCAGCAGCCGCGGUAAUACGUAGGUGGCAAGCGUUGUCCGGAAUUAUUGGGCGUAAAGCGCGCGCAGGCGGCUUCUUAAGUCUGAUGUGAAAGCCCACGGCUCAACCGUGGAGGGUCAUUGGAAACUGGGAGGCUUGAGUGCAGAAGAGAAGAGCGGAAUUCCACGUGUAGCGGUGAAAUGCGUAGAGAUGUGGAGGAACACCAGUGGCGAAGGCGGCUCUUUGGUCUGUAACUGACGCUGAGGCGCGAAAGCGUGGGGAGAGAACAGGAUUAGAUACCCUGGUAUUCCACGCCGUAAACGAUGAGUGCUAAGUGUUAGGGGGUUUCCGCCCCUUAGUGCUGCAGCAAACGCAUUAAGCACUCCGCCUGGGGAGUACGGCCGCAAGGCUGAAACUCAAAGGAAUUGACGGGGGCCCGCACAAGCGGUGGAGCAUGUGGUUUAAUUCGAAGCAACGCGAAGAACCUUACCAGGUCUUGACAUCCCGCUGACCACUCUGGAGACAGAGUUUUCCCUUCGGGGACAGCGGUGACAGGUGGUGCAUGGUUGUCGUCAGCUCGUGUCGUGAGAUGUUGGGUUAAGUCCCGCAACGAGCGCAACCCUUGAUCUUAGUUGCCAGCAUUUAUUGGGCACUCUAAGGUGACUGCCGGGAACACGGAGAAAGGUGGGGAUGACGUCAGAUCUCCAUGCCCCUUUGACCGGGGCUACACCGUGCUACAAUGGAUUGUACAGAGGGCGCCAG